AGAGGCAGGCAGAUCUCUGUGAGUUCGAGGCCAGCCUGAUCUACAAAGCAAGUUCCAAGACAGCCAGGACCACACAGAGAAACUAGGUCUCAAAAA
rnacentral:miRNA from 1 species